UUGUUUGCUGGUGCAGCAUCAUUAAGAUUCACACGCAAACGCAAGGUAGCAGCAGCAAUAUGUUAUCUUCUAAUGAUCGAUUUUUUGAGGUGAGAAUCUUGAUGAUGCUGCAUCGGCCAUAAA
rnacentral:pre_miRNA from 1 species